rnacentral:lncRNA from 1 species
CAACAAAUGGAUCGUUUUUCGUUGUAAGGUCCUAAACCAAUCCAGAUGGGAAAUUUCAUAUAUACUGACAAAAAUAAAAAGAUAUCAAUUCUGUCCCUUCCAGAAACUUCAUCAUCGUACGCUCAAAUAUAAAUAGAUGUCUUCACGCUCGCGUACCGAAUCACGCGUCGUCACAGGCGUUAUGUGUCGUUUUAUUCCUGUACUUGACGGUGACAGCGAGAUAUCACGGCUACAAUUUUCGUUAAAGAGAGAGGCAAAGAAGAGGAGAGAGGGAGAGGGGGUGCGAAUGGAGGGUGUCAUACCGUUUGUAAUCCACGCGAUCAGAGGGCGGCGAGGCCGGAACUCCUACCGCCGCCUCCGCACGCAGCACCUUCCGGAGCAAGAGGAGGGCGCAGCGCCGCCGCUUCCGGAACUCGUCGGAGGCUUCUCCAGCGGCUACAGCCGUGGCGAUCGUCGCAGCCGGUCAGAGAUCCCAGCGUCGGCGAUCGAAUGCCUCUGUGGCUCCCCGGAUCACCGCGUCGGCCAGUCACGGAGCCUGAGGGAAGGAGGUGGUGCCCUCCUCUCCGCCGAUUCAUCUCAUCGCCGAACGUGGCAAGAUUGAGGUCUCCCCCUUUCCGAACAACCUCAAAAUCCGAGGUAUGAUUCUUUCUAUCCCAUACAAUAUUGGCCGGAAUGUGUAUUCAUCGGAGCCAUUACCUUUAUUUUUCUUCCAUCAUCAUCACCAUUUCAUUUUUCGUUGUGAUUGGAAGAUCUCCAAGUUCUUUUGAAACUUAAUUUUACCAAUAAAUAAUAUUCAUCAUAUAUGGCUGAAUAUUCAUUUGGAUCUGCGAAGAACUCCGUCAAGUCAAAUCCCGCAUUGGUGUUGGGAUUUUAAUAUUAUUGUUAUCAUAGUCAUGCUUCGUCUAUUUUCCCAACUAAAGUGUGAAGGAAUGUGGUGCCUGCAUGUGCAUGUGUUACUGAUCUUAGGCCAUUAGGAAAUGAUUUUUAUCCCACAAACAAGAACAUC